rnacentral:rRNA from 1 species
GGAUUGCCUCAGUAACGGCGAGUGAAGCGGCAAAAGCUCAAAUUUGAAACCCUCGGGAUUGUAAUUUGAAGAUUUGGCAUUGGAGAAAGCUAACCCAAGUUGCUUGGAAUAGUACGUCAUAGAGGGUGACAACCCCGUCUGGCUAACCGUUCUCCAUGUAUUGCCUUAUCAAAGAGUCGAGUUGUUUGGGAAUGCAGCUCAAAGUGGGUGGUAAACUCCAUCUAAAGCUAAAUACUGGUGAGAGACCGAUAGCGAACAAGUACUGUGAAGGAAAGGUGAAAAGAACUUUGAAAAGAGAGUGAAAUUAGUAUGUGAAAUUGUUGAUAGGGAAGGAAAUGAGUGGAGAGUGGCCGAGGUUUCAGCCGCCCCUCGUGGGCGGUGUACUGCCGACGCCGAGUCAUCGAUAGCGAGACGAGGGUUACAAAUGGGAGCGCCUUCGGGCGUUCUCCCCUAACCCUCCACACUGCCACCGACGACAUAAUCCACCCAUUUCACCCGUCUUGAA